UACGUAGGGGGCUAGCGUUGCUCGGAAUCACUGGGCGUAAAGGGUGCGUAGGCGGGUUUCUAAGUCAGAGGUGAAAGCCUGGAGCUCAACUCCAGAACUGCCUUUGAUACUGGAAGUCUUGAGUUCGGGAGAGGUGAGUGGAACUGCGAGUGUAGAGGUGAAAUUCGUAGAUAUUCGCAAGAACACCAGUGGCGAAGGCGGCUCACUGGCCCGAUACUGACGCUGAGGCACGAAAGCGUGGGGAGCAAACAGG
rnacentral:rRNA from 1 species